rnacentral:rRNA from 1 species
UACAGAGGUCCCAAGCGUUACUGAGAAUCACUGGGUUUAAAGGGUGCGUAGGUGGUCCGUUAAGUCAGUUGUGAAAUCCCCGGGCUCAACCCGGGAAAUGCUUCUGAUACUGGCGGACUUGAGGCCAGUAGGGGUCACUAGAACUGACGGUGGAGCGGUGAAAUGCGUAGAUAUCGUCAGGAAUGCCGGUGGUGAAGACGGGUGACUGGGCUGGUUCUGACACUGAGGCACGAAAGCGUGGGGAGCGAACGGGGAGUU